rnacentral:rRNA from 1 species
CGGCCAGACUCCUACGGGAGGCAGCAGUGGGGAAUAUUGCACAAUGGGGGGAACCCUGAUGCAGCGACGCCGCGUGAGUGAAGAAGUAUUUCGGUAUGUAAAGCUCUAUCAGCAGGGAAGAAGAUGACGGUACCUGACUAAGAAGCCCCGGCUAACUACGUGCCAGCAGCCGUGGUAAUACGUAGGGGGCAAGCGUUAUCCGGAUUUACUGGGUGUAAAGGGAGCGUAGACGGCAGCGCAAGUCUGGAGUGAAAUGCCGGGGCCCAACCCCGGAACUGCUUUGGAAACUUUUUUGCUGGAGUACCGGAGAGGUAAGCGGAAUUCCUAGUGUAGCGGUGAAAUGCGUAGAUAUUAGGAGGAACACCAGUGGCGAAGGCGGCUUACUGGACGGUAACUGACGUUGAGGCUCGAAAGCGCGGGGAGCAAACAGGAUUAGAUACCCGGGUAA